rnacentral:rRNA from 1 species
AGAGUUUGAUCAUGGCUCAGGAUGAACGCUGGCGGCAUGCCUAAUACAUGCAAGUCGAACGAAGUCUUUUGAAAGCUUGCUUUUAAAAGACUUAGUGGCGAACGGGUGAGUAACACGUAGGGAACCUGCCCAUGUACCCGGGAUAACAGAUGGAAACGUCUGCUAAAACCGGAUAGGUAUAGACAAGGCAUCUUGACUAUAUUAAAGGACCUUCGGGUGCGGACAUGGAUGGACCUGCGGCGUAUUAGCCAGUUGGCGGGGUAACGGCCCACCAAAGCGAUGAUACGUAGCCGGCCUGAGAGGGUAGACGGCCACAUUGGGACUGAGACACGGCCCAAACUCCUACGGGAGGCAGCAGUAGGGAAUUUUCGUCAAUGGGGGAAACCCUGAACGAGCAAUGCCGCGUGAGUGAAGAAGGCCUUCGGGUCGUAAAGCUCUGUUGUAAGAGAAAAACGGUAAUGAUAGGAAAUGAUCAUUAAGUGAUGGUAUCUUACGAGGAAGCCACGGCUAACUACGUGCCAGCAGCCGCGGUAAUACGUAGGUGGCAAGCGUUAUCCGGAAUGAUUGGGCGUAAAGGGUGCGCAAGCGGAACCAUAAGUCUGAAGUAAAAGCCAUCGGCUCAACCGAUGUAAGCUUUGGAAACUGUGGAUCUAGAGUGCAGGAGAGGA